CAGCCGCCGCGGGAACACCGGCAGCUCUAGUGGUAGCUGUUUUAUUGGGCCUAAAGCGUUCGUAGCCGGUUUAAUAAGUCUCUGGUGAAAUCCUAUAGCUUAACUGUGGGAAUUGCUGGAGAUACCAUUAGACUUGAGAUCGGGAGAGGUCAGAGGUACUCCUGGGGUAGGGGUGAAAUCCUGUAAUCCUAGGAGGACCACCUGUGGCGAAGGCGUCUGACUAGAACGAAUCUGACGGUGAGGAACGAAAGCUAGGGGCGCGAACCGGAUUAGAUACCCGGGUAGUCCUAGCCGUAAACUAUGCGGACUUGGUGUGAGGGUGGCUUUGAGCCGUCCUGGUGCCGAAGGGAAGCUGUUAAGUCCGCCGCCUGGGAAGUACGGUCGCAAGACUGAAACUUAAAGGAAUUGGCGGGGAGCACCACAACGCGUGGAGCCUGCGGUUUAAUUGGAUUCAACGCCGGAGAUCUCACCAGCGGCGACAGCAGUAUGAUGACCAGGUUGAUGACUUUGUUUGACAAGCUGAGAGGAGGUGCAUGG
rnacentral:rRNA from 1 species